UAGGGAAUCUUCGGCAAUGGGGGGAACCCUGACCGAGCAACGCCGCGUGAGUGAAGAAGGUUUUCGGAUCGUAAAGCUCUGUUGUUAAGGAAGAAUGAGUGUGAGAAUGGAAAGUUCAUGCUGUGACGGUACUUAACCAGAAAGGGACGGCUAACUACGUGCCAGCAGCCGCGGUAAUACGUAGGUCCCGAGCGUUGUCCGGAUUUAUUGGGCGUAAAGCGAGCGCAGGCGGUCAAUUAAGUCUGAUGUGAAAGCCCCCGGCUCAACCGGGGAGGGUCAUUGGAGACUGUUUCACUUGAGUGCAGAAGGGGAGAGUGGAAUUCCAUGUGUAGCGGUGAAAUGCGUAGAUAUAUGGAGGAACGCCGGUGGCGAAAGCGGCUCUCUGGUCUGUAACUGACGCUGAGGCUCGAAAGCGUGGGGAGCGAACAGG
rnacentral:rRNA from 1 species